rnacentral:rRNA from 1 species
AGUGAACGCUGGCGGCGUGCCUAAUACAUGCAAGUCGAACGAAGUGGCGCACGGGUGAGUAAUAUAUAGUUAAUCUGCCCUACACAGAGGAACAACAGUUGGAAACGACUGCUAAUACCUCAUAGUGUAGGAUGAGACUAUAUCGUAUCAGCUAGUUGGUAAGGUAAUGGCUUACCAAGGGUAUGACGCGUAACUGGUCGGAGAGGAUGAUAAGGAAAAUUUGAAUUGAGACACCGUCCAAACUCCUAAGGGAGUGAGCAGUAAGGAAUAGUGCGCAAUGGGUGAAACACGUAAGCAGCAACGCCGCGUGGAGGAUGACAAUUUUCGGAGCGGAAACUCCUUUUAUCAGGAAAGCGGUACCUGAUGAAGAAGCACCGGCUAACUCCGUGCCAGCCGCCGCGGUAAUAC